CAACAUAUGACAUCAGAGCUUGGGUAGGCGAGAUAUUUAUGAUAUUUUCAACCAAAAAUCAACUGAAAAAGGGCAGAAUCAAAGGCAGAAAGCUAGGACGAAAACAUCCAGUUUUAACAAAACUAAUUGAACCUAUAAACGCGAUGUUCGGCUAAACCACAUGACGGUUGGUGAAACAGAGGCCAGAUUGAGACUCUGCAGGUAGAGCCACUUCUUGGUAGACAGCAUGUGGGGGACGGCGGCUAUGCGUGGGUUUUCAACAGCAGCGUGUGUGAGCGUGUGAGCCAUUUUCUGGUGAAGGUCUGAACUAACAGUUUGCUUCAAGAGGUGUUGUUCAUUUUCAGUUUUGAGCACUAUGGUGAAUUUAGAUGAUUUUGCCUUUGCACGUUCGGAGUUAACUUUUGCUCGAUUGGUUGCUGCAACUGUUGUAGGUAACAAUUUAUGGUUUGCCCAGUAUCUUUUUUUUUUUUCUAUUGAAAUUAUUUAUAUUGUGUAGGGUAACAAUUUACUUUACUCAUUAGAUGUCAUCGUGUGGGGGUAACAUCAUAAUCGAUGUUAUCGUGAAGGAAUAAUCAUUUACUGUUGCCAGACUUAAAAAUUAUUUGUUAAUUUUUUGAUUGUUAAUUUGUUGCCAAUUAAUUUUUUCAUUCUUUGAAUUGCAUGUCAUAUUAGGAAAGUUUAUUUGACUAUUUUGCAUAAUGCUGAUACUUUGCUUGUGGUCACGGUUUGUUACAUUUUGUCUUUUGUGCGUUUGUUGGUGAAAUGAUAACACAUUUUGAGUUGUGUUCUUUCCAAUGGAGAAAUGUGAUUUUUCAAUUCGACAAAAUGAAAAGUUUUUACAUAACUGUUGACAGCAAAUGUAGGUUUAAAGCAAGUGCUAAAAGUACAAUGUAUUUUUUUAACGUGGUAUUUUGAACAUAUUGAAAUAAACUAGCCUAGAAGAAUAAUUGGAGGAAAGAUAAGGAGAAAGGUGAUGUAAAUAUUACCAUUGGGCGUAGUUAUGACCCAUGUGAGGUUUAGUGAGAAUAAAUCUGGUUAUUGAAUGUGCCUCUAUGCGUAAUCUUUUUUGCAUGUGUGAUUGAUUAAUUCUUUUGCAUGGUUAUAUGUUACAUUUCAAUACGUUUGAUAUGUUCAUUUGCAUAAAUCUAAAAGCAAUAUGAUUGCUUUGUGUAAUGUGUUUUGAAUAAAUAGUGAGUUGAUAUCUAUGGCAUACUCUUGCUCUUUGCGAGACUCUUUUUAUGAGUGUAAUAAUGUAAACAAUUCUUUCUUCUAUUCUCUUUGUGAGUACUCCCUUCAUAUUUUCCAUUGUGGGAUGAAUCCUUUGUAGAUUUCUUUGACUUUGGUGUUGGAGUAACCUUUUGUUGCACCGGUCGAUUUAAGUUUGAACCUUACCUUUUGUGGUCAUCAAAAGAUGUAGAUUUUGCCCUAGUAGGUUUGAGAUGCGUUAACAGUAAGUGUGUUGUAUGUCUUUCGGUAAUGUAAAGUAUAGAUGCUAGAGGUAUAUUGGGGAUAUGCACGCGAGAUGUGGAUAGUGACUUUUGGUUCACUAGUGGAGAUAUGUUUAAAUGUCUAGAAUCCUCUAUUUGUGAAAGACCUUGUAUAGAUGAAGUGUGCAAAUGACACUUAUAUCACUUUUGUUAGGUGAAGACCCACUAUCACUUAGGUUGAGAGAAGUGAGGUGGUGAUAGAAGAUUAUCCCAUGAACUUAGGAUCUAUUGUGAUUUACCAGUUAGACAUGUGUUGGUGAUUAGUCCGUGAGUAUGGUGGGUGUGAGAGGAGAUAUGUUUUCACAAAGAACGAGCUACAUGGAAUGAGACAGGGUAAGUGUGGUUGAUCUUUUCGUGGGGGCAUUUAUAUAUUUGUUGUAUAUAUGUUUGGCAAUUUGAUUAAUUAACUUGGUGUUAAUAAGUUGUUCUAUGCGAACAUGUUUGAAAUGGUCUGUGUUUAUCCUAUGUUAUAUUUUCAUCUUAUGUUUUAUUGCUUUUAAUCGAUUACUAUGAUUACUUGCUUCUACUUGGGUAUUUCUUGACUUUAGCCCUAGUGAGUAUAUGGAAUAGGUAUGAUAUGUGAUUCGGGUCUGAGACAUGAGGUAAGGUCCUUGAUCCCAAUUUAUAGGUUACCUUGAUUAUGCAAGUAUUAAAUUUAUGUUUUAAUUGCCUGCAAGUUGAUUGGGUUUCAAGGUAGAGAUUUGUUAGGUUUUGAUACCCAAUAAAUUUGGGCGAUAAUUUAAAACAAAUGGAUAAUUUAUCGACAUUAUAGACUUGGCUCGGCCUAGAAAAAACAUAUACUUAUGGUUGGUCCAAGUAAUAAUUGGGUUAUUAGAUUAUCGGUUUAGAUUAAUUGUUACCCCAUUUGUUUGAUAUUAUUCUUAGCCCACUUCAUCUUAGCCUAUUUAAGGAUAAGUUAUGCCCAUUUAAGCGAUCCAAUGUGUUUGCGCGCGCAUGCACACACAUAUAUAUCCAACCUUACGUGUAGUCAUGUGUGGGUAUGUGUUGUGCAAGAGAGUGGAAAGAAAAUGAGAGAGGGAGGGUAGACAACUUGGGAGGAAUUGGGAGAGAUUUCUACCAUUGCUGUUUCUUCUUCUUCCUACUAUUGCUAAUCCCUCCACCGUCUUCUCCUUUGUAGUGUUGAGAGGAUUUGUGGCAACCAAGGUGUUGGAAGAGUUUUUGGGUCACAUUCAAGCUGGCUAUGGUAUUUGUUUGGUUGGUUUUUUUGAGCCCAGAUGAUUGAUUUCUUGAAGAUUUCCGCAACAAAGCCCUACAACAAGACUUUGCCACCAUUCGUACAAGGGUGGACUCUGUCCAUACCAUACAACAAUCUAUGGACUCGACUAACAGAAAACUGCCCUUGAGCAAAGCUGCAUCAGUAGAGCAUGCAAUCAGGUCAUACGAAAAUUGGAUAGAUGUACCGUACAGCUUGAUGACAUACAUGUGCACAUUUCACAGGACACUGAUUUGUCGGUUCUUCCCACUUCAAUCCACCAACUCUAAUUCCACUUCCAUCUGAUAUCACACCCCGACAUGUCUUUAGACUCCUUUUAUUUUCUUUUGUUAUGUUUACUUUGAGGGAAUUAGAGUGUUGGAAAAAAUUUAGCAUAUUUUCACAAAAUUUAUUAAUUGGCUUACUUAAUUUUUGUGUUGAUUUUUAAAUGUCAAAUGAGCUUUUAAAAAUGUGAAAAAAUUUACGAGUCCUAUCAAUAACCAGUAUUGAUUAAUUGGAUGGCAAUAUAACUAAAUCUAUUAACAUAUCAAGAAAAUCUUUUAGGAUAUACAAAUCUUCUUGCCAUGCUUAGUGUUUCUUAUUUAGGUUAGAAUUAAUAUCAAUCUUUGUUAAUUGCUUUACCUUUAAGUAAGGUAAUCAAACAAGAUUAGAAUCAAGCUUUGAGAAAUUAUUCAUGCGUUCAGUGUCCUCGUGUUUCUGGGUUUAGUCGUCGUCGUGUAAUUUCAAAUGGACUUAUGCUUUAUUGAUUACUUUCAUGUCCAAAGUCUUUUUCAAAGCUGUUUGGCGAAAAAAAAUUAAUAUGUGCUGAAUGUGCAAUCCCAUUCAUUGAUCAUGCUGCUUGAUGUGAAUUAAGAAUGGUGAUUCUUAAUUCAAUUGGUGGUUGUGACCGAAUAUAUUAGGAAAGUGUUGAUAAAAUCAAGAUUGGAUGGUUUGAUUUCACUUCAUAAACAAGUCAGAGAAAGAAAAUACAAUGGAGCUGUUCUUAAAUUUCUUUUGAUUAUUUUUUGUUAAUUUUACUAAACUACAAAACAGAUACUAUUGUACUAUUGAUAAUUUGAUUUAAUUGAUUGUUUGACCCAUGACGUGGGCCCAUUGAUGUUUUCCUUUGGAUUUUAGCACGUUACAUCUGAUUGUAAAGUUUUAAUAUGUUAGUUAAUUUCCAUGCUCAAUUAAAAUUGCUCGAACGCAGAUUCAACUGGCACGUUGUAGUUAGAACCGUUAGAAAUUGAGUACAUGAUAUUCUGAAUGACUGCAGUUCACUAAUAGUAUAAUUAAAAUGAAUUUUUAAUUUACCUAGAUUUAAGAAUUUAUAUUUGGUAUCAAAGUGGGUUCACUUUUAAAAAGCGUGACCCACGAAAAGCCUAAAUAUGGACAAAGCACAAUAUAGACCCCAUUUUCUAGAUGGGACGAACUAUUCAUAUUGAAAGAUUAGGAUGCAAUUCAAUGUCCAAUUCUUAGAUGAAAAAGCUUGGUAUUUCAAUCAUGUAUAGAUAAAACACCCACUGUAACUGAAAAAAGAGAUAGAGAGUACUUGAAGCUGGGAUGACUACUGACUUUAAUAACGCUAGUUGGAAUUCCAAAGCUUUAAAUGCUAUUUUUUCUUGGUAGAUUCUAACCAAUUUUACUUGAUUUCUACAUGCAAGGUGUUACAGGAAGCUUGGGAUAUACUUUAAGUUGGUCAUGAAGGAACUUCCAUCAUGAAGUCAUCCAAGCUUCAAAUGUUUACGCUUAAGCUUGAACAAUUAACAAUGAGAGACGAUGAACAAUUCAAGGACUUUUAAGUCAAGCUCAAUGACAUCAACAACUCGACAUAUACUUUAGGAAAGAAGUAUAUAGAGAGAAAGGUCCUGAAGAAGAUUCUUAGAGAUAACUUCCUAAUCGAUUUCAUUUUGAAGUAAUUACCAUCGAGGAGAGUAAAAAUAUUGAAAUCAUAAAGUUCGAAGAGUUAGCAGUGCAAGAGUUAUGAGGGAGUGUUCAUUGGUUAGUCAGAAAAUAGUCGUGACUAUCGAGUGUAUAAAAUAAGGAUUCAAACUAUUGUCGAGUCUAUUAAUGUCAAUAUUGAUGAUGCUGAUGAUUUCUCCUCUUUCUCAUAGGAACAUGAGAUUUAGAAUUUGGUAAAACAAAUUGAAGGUACUCAGAAUUCUCCAAAAAAAUUAUGCUACAGAUUCUAAAAAUAGAAGUCGGACAGAAUUGCCAGUACCAAGUUCUGAUGAUCCUGCACUAGCCACUGCAAGCAUUCACCCGCUCGAAAAAGACAGUGAAUUGUAGAAUAAAAGGCAGUUUCUUACCUGGAGAUAGAAUGAUGACCAGACAAAGACUUGCUAGAAAACUGUGGAAUGUUUGCUGUACCCCACAUAUUGAGCCCAUAAAUGUAAUUGAGGUACUCUUGUUGAUGAAUCUUAGUAUCACAAUACUGGAAAAACUGGCUCAAUUUGAGCAAAGCAAUGUAUGGAAGUUAGUAUCUCGGCUAAAAGAUACAAAUAUGAUUGAAACAAAGUGGAUCGUCCAAAACAAGUCAGAUGAGCAUGUCAAUAUAGUCUGAAACAAGGCACGACUGAUAGCACAAUGUUACACUCAAGUUGAAAGAGUGGAUUUGAUGAUACAUUUGCACAUGUGGCCAAACUUGAAUAUAUCCGACUUUUAUUAUCUGUGGCAUGUUGGAUGGAUUCAAACUUAUCAGAUGGAUGUGAAGAGUGCCCUUUUGAAUAGAAUUUUAAAUGAAAAGGAUAUGUUGAGCAACCAAAAGGAUUUAUUGAACCAUAUCAUGCUAACCAUGUAUUCAAACACAAAAAGGCGUUGUACGGACU
rnacentral:lncRNA from 1 species